rnacentral:pre_miRNA from 1 species
GGAGUCUUUCCAGCCCAAAACAGCUUCUUGAUCUUCUUGAAAACUUCUGUUUGGACUGAAGGGAGCUCUAA